GUGACACAUGUGUCCCACCAUGGUAGGGUGACAGGGAGGUGACACAGGUGCUGUGUCCCACCAUGAAAGGGUGACAAGGAGGUGACAUGGGUGACAUGUGUGCCAUGGACAGGUGACAAGGAGGUGACACUUGUGACCCUCCAUGACAUGGUGACAAGGAGGUGACACGGGUGUUGUGUCCCACCAUGGCAGGGUGACGAGGAGGUGACACGGGUGCCCUGUU